rnacentral:lncRNA from 1 species
GCAACACCUGAUCAACGAUAACAAUAGUUAGCAAGCAGUAUAUAUAGAGGUGAGUGACAAGAUUUCUACAUUCUUUCAAGAGUCUCUUCUCCGUUGUUCAAGAUUUAUUAUCGUCAAUCAUGAAGUACAUAUUCCUUAUUGCUCUGAGUGUUGUAGCAGCCAGUGCUAUCGUCUGCCCACCAGAUAUCUGC